rnacentral:rRNA from 1 species
GACGAACGCUGGCGGCGUGCCUAAUACAUGCAAGUCGAACGCUGAAGGAGGAGCUUGCUUCUCUGGAUGAGUUGCGAACGGGUGAGUAACGCGUAGGUAACCUGCCUGGUAGCGGGGGAUAACUAUUGGAAACGAUAGCUAAUACCGCAUAAUAGUAGAUGCUGCAUGACAUUUGCUUAAAAGGUGCAAUUGCAUCACUACCAGAUGGACCUGCGUGGUAUUAGCUAGUUGGUGGGGUAACGGCUCACCAAGGCGACGAUACAUAGCCGACCUGAGAGGGUGAUCGGCCACACUGGGACGGAGACACGGCACAGAGUCCUACAGGAGGCAGCAGUAGGGCAACGUCGGCAAUGGGCGGAAGACUGACCGAGAAACGCCGAGGGAGGGAAGAAGGACGUCGGAUCGUAGAGGUCGGUUGUAAGAGAAGAACGAGUGUGAGAGUGGAAAGUUCACACUGUGACGGUAUCUUAACAGAAAGGGACGGCUAACUACGUG